GUGGGCACUAGUUGUGUGGACCUUCCACGGUCUCUGCGACGCAGCUAACGCAUUAAGUGCCCCGCCUGGGGAGUACGAUCGCAAGAUUAAAACUCAAAGGAAUUGACGGGGCCCCGCACAAGCAGCGGAGCAUGCGGCUUAAUUCGACGCAACGCGAAGAACCUUACCAAGGCUUGACAUAUACAGGAAUAUGGCAGAGAUGUCAUAGCCGCAAGGUCUGUAUACAGGUGGUGCAUGGUUGUCGUCAGCUCGUGUCGUGAGAUGUUGGGUUAAGUCCCGCAACGAGCGCAACCCUCGUUCUGUGUUGCCAGCAUUUAGUUGGGGACUCACAGGAGACUGCCGGGGUUAACUCGGAGGAAGGUGGGGAUGACGUCAAAUCAUCAUGCCCCUUAUGUCUUGGGCUGCACGCAUGCUACAAUGGCUGGUACAAACGGCUGCAAUACCGCAAGGUGGAGCGAAUCCGAGAAAGCCAGUCUCAGUUCGGAUUGGGGUCUGCAACUCGACCCCAUGAAGUCGGAGUUGCUAGUAAUCGUAGAUCAGCAACGCUACGGUGAAUACGUUCCCGGGGCUUGUACACACCGCCCGUCACGUCACGAAAGUCGGAACACCCGAAGUCAGUGGCCCAACCGCAAGGAGGGAACUG
rnacentral:rRNA from 1 species